rnacentral:tRNA from 1 species
GUAAAUAUAGUUUAACAAAAACAUUAGAUUGUGAAUCUAAUGAUAGAAGUGUAAACCUUCUUAUUUACC